CCUUGACCUAAAUAAAUCGCCGUAGGCUCUAAAGGAAAAAGUAUGGUUUAGGAUUCAACAAUUAAUAUUGGUUUUAGAAGUUUUUAGGUCUUUCAAUGACAAUACUACAAGUUUAUUUCAGUAGAAAUUUGAAUUACGGUCAGUGCUGCUUUCACCAGCUUCAAGUUUCUUGCUAAUGGUUGGCGGAAGAUCUUCCUAUAUGGGGUUUCUCGCUGAUGAUCGGGGUAGAAAAUUUUCGUAUCUUUGGUAAUAUUAUAGAAGAAAAUUUGAAAUGAUUGUAUUGGGUCGAUGAGAAGAAUGUAGUUGUCCGCCCUGAAUUUUGC